rnacentral:rRNA from 1 species
UGGGGGGAUAGCCCGGAUCAAUCCGGAUUAAUACCGCAUAAAAUCACAGGAUGGCAUUAUCCAAUGAUCAAACAUUUAUGGGAUGGAGAUGGGCAUGCGUGUCAUUAGCUAGUUGGCGGGGUAACGGCCCACCAAGGCGACGAUGACUAGGGGAUCUGAGAGGAUGGCCCCCCACACUGGUACUGAGACACGGACCAGACUCCUACGGGAGGCAGCAGUAAGGAAUAUUGGUUAAUGGAGGCAACUCUGAACCAGCCAUGCCGCGUGCAGGAAGACUGCCCUAUGGGUUGUAAACUGCUUUUAUUCGGGAAUAAACCUAUUUACGUGUAAAUAGCUGAAUGUACCGAAGGAAUAAGGAUCGGCUAACUCCGUGCCAGCCGCCGCGGUAAUAC